UUCAACACUGACUCACAGGCUGCUGCAAUACCCAGACAUGAGCUAAAAGGGAGAGGAUAAGUGUAACUAAACCCAUCUACAUACACAGAGACCUAACCUGCAGAGACAGGGUGACACCCCAGUCUAAAGAACCCAAACCCUGCCAACCAAACUGAGGGGCAGAUGAAGAACUGAUCAGAAAACACUCAUUAAGGAAAUGAAGAUUGCAGGCCUCCUAAUCUGAUGAGCAAAGGGGUCAAGACCAGGCUGAGGAUGAACUUCUUUUGAAGAGGACAAUCUUCUACAUCAACGAGUUUGGAUUUCAGGACUAGUUUGCUCAUGUGCAGAUAAACCAUUACCAGCCUAACAAGACCACUCUGGUUUGCAGCUGUAAUUCUUGUCUGGAGAGCUUACCUUCAACCAUAUCCUGUUCAAAUGACUCCAGAGGAACACCAUCAGCCCCAGCACCAAGACUGAGGGGCAACCCAUUAGAGUCUGCAUUCUUGUUGGCUGCAGCAGAAUCUUAAGAAAAGGAUUCAGGACAGCUUCAAGAGCCAAGGAAAUAAAAGGAGACAUUUCUUCAGAUUUCUGAAACAAAGCUUCUUCAGCGCCUCGAUGUCCAUGUGGGGGAUGUCUACGGCCUUGGCUUCAUCGCAGUGCUGCUGGUCCCCCAGGAGUCCCACCGAGAACUUGGGGCGAGGAGUGGACUUGAGCCUGACGGUGCCCGAGAAACGUUUGUCCUUCUGGGGGUCAUAGUUCUUCAGGCUGAUCUGCAACUCCACCACUCCACCGUUUCCAGAAACUUGCGGCGCUUGCGCUGGUUGCCCUGCAGGACUUCCCGCACCGCCUCGUACAGGGUGUUGCGCAGCGGAACACUUUGCUGCUGCGGGGAAGAAGCUAGGAGGACGCUCAGGGCCCUCCAUGACGGGUCCCCCGGGCCCCGCGGUGACCGCCCAGGCCCACAGCCCGCCGCGAAGGGGCUCACGACGGGGGCCGCUGCCGGGAGAGCCCCCGCGGCAGGCGUCAGGGUGCCCGCGGGACGCCGGGUGCACGGAUGGCGGCGGAUGCCGCCCGGAGAACUGCCUACCUCAUGGCUGCGGAGGCCGCGCGAACCGGAAAAGAGAGUCUCUCUGUGUUUAACAAGUAAAGAGCUCCAGACCCACACCUAGUUGCCAUGCCUUCCCCUGUACACCCCCAAUCAUGGACUAUGUCCUGUAAACUGAGAUGAUAUAAACUCACCCUCCCUUAAGUUACUUUUGUCACAUAUUUUAUCACAAUGACAAGCCAAGUAACUAAUACACUGGUAUUUUGUGGAUGGGGCGUAUUUCAGAGUUGUGGCCCCAGCUAAAGGCAAUACUAUACGAAGCUCAGAUGCAGUCUGGGCUGCCCCAGUGCUCUCCAUCUCUCCCUAUCCACUGCUACUUACCCAGAAGAGACUUCAGAAGAAGGCAUCCAUGACCCUUGGGCAGCUCUGUCUCUAGUCUGUCCUUAAGUCUUUUUUCAAAUGAGCAUGUGCACACAGAAUACACACAAAGAAGUUAUGUUUUCUUUCAGGACUGAGGAGAAAACCUAGGGAAUUAUACAAGUUAAGCACGUACUUGAGCCAUAGUGCAGCCUCAAGUAAAGGUUUCAUAAUAAUUUAAAUCUGAAUUUCCUGGAAAUGGCAUUCCAUAUAGAAAUGUCAUUUUGCUUUACUGGUGCUUAAUUAAAGUAUCUUAGCCACGGGGUUUUAAAUGCUUCGUUUGGACACUUUACUGCCCUAAUGACUAUAUUUUAUCGUUUAAAAUGAUAGUAAUGUUUUCUUAGGGCACAUAGAUGUACACUUUGCCACUUCUCAAGGGUGGGCAAAAUAAUUGUUCAUACUUCUUAAACUGCGGAAAAAGAGACAGCAAUAGUGUAAAAAUGGUAGAGAGAAGAAAUGUGAAAGACUAAUCCAUGUAUGUUUUCCCAUCUUUCCAAACUUGAUUUCUUUCUAUCUAUUCUAGGAGUCUGGGGCAAAAAGAGGCAGAUUUAUCUGACUGGGAAGGCAAUGUUGUUUGCAGAUUUGCUAAAGACACCAGAGAGGAAGGAGAAAGAAACCCAGAGGCAGGGAGAAGAACUAAAGCUAUAGCCCAAAGAGGUAGUCGAGUCCCAGUUCAUUGUAUCCAAACAAUUACCUGGUCCUUGUCACAGCUUGCUAGUAGGGCCAGUAUGUUGCCUGCUUUUGUAAAAUAAAAGAGCUGCCUCUCUGUGCUCUAGGAUAUAC
rnacentral:lncRNA from 1 species